UAACGCGAAGAACCUUACCAAGGCUUGACAUACACCGGAAACGGCCAGAGAUGGUCGCCCCCUUGUGGUCGGUGUACAGGUGGUGCAUGGUUGUCGUCAGCUCGUGUCGUGAGAUGUUGGGUUAAGUCCCGCAACGAGCGCAACCCUCGUUCUAUGUUGCCAGCGCGUUAUGGCGGGGACUCAUAGGAGACUGCCGGGGUCAACUCGGAUGAAGGUGGGGAUGACGUCAAAUCAUCAUGCCCCUUAUGUCUUGGGCUUCACGCAUGCUACAAUGGCCGGUACAAAGGGCUGCGAUACCGUAAGGUGGAGCGAAUCUCUAAAAACCAUCCUCAGUUCGGAUUGCAGGCUGCAACUCGCCUGUAUGAAGCUGGAAUCGCUAGUAAUCGCAGAUCAGC
rnacentral:rRNA from 1 species